rfam:Melipona quadrifasciata isolate 0111107301 unplaced genomic scaffold scaffold39, whole genome shotgun sequence.
UCCCUGGUUGAUCCUGCCAGUAGUCAUAUGCUUGUCUCAAAGAUUAAGCCAUGCAUGUCUCAGUACAGGCUGAAUUAAAGUGAAACCGCGAAUGGCUCAUUAAAUCAGUUAUGGUUUCUUAGAUCGUACCCACAUUUACUUGGAUAACUGUGGUAAUUCUAGAGCUAAUACAUGCAAACGAAGUUCCUCUCAGAGAUGGGAGGAAUGCUUUUAUUAGAUCAAGACCAAUCGGUGGCGGAUGGCUCGCUGUCCGUCCAUCGUUUGCUUUGGUGACUCUGAAUAACUUUAUGCCGAUCGCAUGGUCAUCUAGCACCGGCGACGCAUCUUUCAAAUGUCUGCCUUAUCAACUGUCGAUGGUAGGUUCUGCGCCUACCAUGGUUGUAACGGGUAACGGGGAAUCAGGGUUCGAUUCCGGAGAGGGAGCCUGAGAAACAGCUACCACAUCCAAGGAAGGCAGCAGGCGCGCAAAUUACCCACUCCCGGCACGGGGAGGUAGUGACGAAAAAUAACGAUACGGGACUCAUCCGAGGCCCCGUAAUCGGAAUGAGUACACUUUAAAUCCUUUAACGAGGACCAAUUGGAGGGCAAGUCUGGUGCCAGCAGCCGCGGUAAUUCCAGCUCCAAUAGCGUAUAUUAAAGUUGUUGCGGUUAAAAAGCUCGUAGUUGAAUCUGUGUGUCACAGUGUCGGUUCACCGCUCGCGGUGUUUAACUGGCAUUAUGUGAUACGUCCUAUCGGUGGGCUUAGCUCCUUGUGGGCGGUCCAACUAAUCUCCCAUCGCGGUGCUCUUCACUGAGUGUCGAGGUGGGCCGAUACGUUUACUUUGAACAAAUUAGAGUGCUUAAAGCAGGCUACCUUCGCCUGAAUACUGUGUGCAUGGAAUAAUGGAAUAGGACCUCGGUUCUAUUUUGUUGGUUUUCGGAGCCCCGAGGUAAUGAUUAAUAGGGACAGAUGGGGGCAUUCGUAUUGCGACGUUAGAGGUGAAAUUCUUGGAUCGUCGCAAGACGGACAGAAGCGAAAGCAUUUGCCAAAAAUGUUUUCAUUAAUCAAGAACGAAAGUUAGAGGUUCGAAGGCGAUCAGAUACCGCCCUAGUUCUAACCAUAAACGAUGCCAGCCAGCGAUCCGCCGAAGUUCUUCAGAUGACUCGGCGGGCAGCUUCCGGGAAACCAAAGCUUUUGGGUUCCGGGAGAUGUAUGGUUGCAAAGCUCAAACUCAAAGGAAUUGACGGAAGGGUGGUGCAUGGCCGUUCUUAGUUGGUGGAGCGAUUUGUCUGGUUAAUUCCGAUAACGAACGAGACUCUGGCCUGCUAAAUAGGCGUAACUUAUGGUAUCUCGAAGGCCCCCGGCUUCGGUCGGUGGGUUUUUACUACCAACGUACAGACAAAUCUUCUCUGAGGAACAGGCGGCUUUAGCCGCACGAGAUUGAGCAAUAACAGGUCUGUGAUGCCCUUAGAUAUUCUGGGCCGCACGCGCGCUACACGGAAGUUAUCAGCGUGUUUUCCCUGGCCGAAAGUCCGGGGUAACCCGCUGAACCUCCUUCGUGUUAGGGAUUGUGUCUUGCAAUUAUUCCCCAUGAACGAGGAAUUCCAAGUAAGCGCGAAUCAUAAGCUCGCGUUGAAUACGUCCCUGCCCUUUCUACACACCGCCCGUCGCUACUACCGAUUGAAUGAUUUAGUGAGGUCUUCGGACUGGUCCGCGGCCAGUGCCUUGGCGUUGGCGAUGUUACCGGGAAGAUGACUAAACUUGAUCAUUUAGAGGAAAUAAUAGUCGUAACAAGGUUUCCGUAGGUGAGCCUGCGGAAGGAUCAUUA